UACAGAGGGUGCGAGCGUUGUUCGGAAUUAUUGGGCGUAAAGGGCGCGUAGGCGGUGCGGUAAGUCACCUGUGAAAUCUCCUGGCUCAACUGGGAGCUUGCAGGCGUAACUGCCGUGCUGGAAUGUGGGAGAGGUGAGUGGAAUUCCCGGUGUAGCGGUGAAAUGCGUAGAUAUCAGGAGGAACACCUGUGGUGUAGACAGCUUACUGGACCACUUCUGACGCUGAGACACGAAAGCGUGGGUAGCAAACAGG
rnacentral:rRNA from 1 species